rnacentral:rRNA from 1 species
UACAGAGGUCUCAAGCGUUGUUCGGAUUCAUUGGGCGUAAAGGGUGCGUAGGCGGCGCGGUAAGUCGGGUGUGAAAUCUUGGAGCUUAACUCCGAAACUGCAUUCGAUACUGCCGUGCUUGAGGACUGGAGAGGAGACUGGAAUUUACGGUGUAGCGGUGAAGUGCGUAGAUAUCGUAAGGAAGACCAGUGGCGAAGGCGGGUCUCUGGACAGUUCCUGACGCUGAGGCACGAAGGCCAGGGGAGCAAACGGG